rnacentral:lncRNA from 1 species
GGGUCAUCCAUAAUUGUCAACCAUUUUCCAAAGUGUACAAAACGUACACUUGGGGGAGGGGGUUAAAAAAUCAACAUUUUUACCGUACGCUUUUUUUUUUUAUUUCCAUGGAAUUUAUAUUCGUUUCCGUAGGGAAGGUCGAUGUAUAAAAAUCGAGAAUUGGCUUGGGUGUGUUUCUCUUCUUAUUUCUUCUUUAUUAUUUUCACUUGAUGAUAUUGAUUUCGAUAUCAUAAUUCUACUCAAUCGGGAUUGAACGAUUAAAAGAUCAAAUCAUAUGAAAACUAAAUCUUUCAAAAAUGUGAACUAGUAAAAUUAUUUAAACAAAAAGUUUGCAAGCAUUUCUCAGUACCCCCGAUUGUCAAUUUCACCUGCUUUAUUAUUGAUCGAUAUCGUUUUACUCUGUUUAAUAAACAAAACUUGAUGGAAACACUAACAUGCUAAAUUCUUUGAAUGUUUUGAUUUUGACAAGACGCCAUUUUGUGAAAAGAUUUUAAACUGGUCCUUCGAUUAAUUUCCUUGUAAUGCAUUCCAAAUAGUAAACCAGUAAACCGGAAGUAAACUUAUUUUUCUUAGUAUAAGCCUCCUUUAAUUAGGAGCACCUCCAUAUGAAGUUUAACCUUAACUUAAAAAAUAUCCAAUAUAUGUACACGUUACAGUAUAUAUACAUAAACGAUAAUAGUGCCAUGAAUGGCAUAUUUACAGGGACCUUUUAAAUAGAAAUACAGGCGGGAAAUUUAAAAACUCAAAAUGUUUUAAAACAUUACACUUUUAUUGAUUGCUGUCUUGAGCUCUGAUUCCAUCAACAACUGUCAGUCCAUACUUUACCAAUGCAAUAUAACCAUGCAUUUCCCUUUCUUUGAUUCUUAGCAUAGUUUAUGUGCCCUUUUGUUAAUCUUUUGCAUGCUCUAGGUGCCCUUUUUUCUUAUUGGAGUUACCAUUCCCACUGUGUGAUAGGGGAAACACUAAUCUUUGUACUCUUUAUUCUGACAAAACACAAGCAUCACAGAUAGAUGUCAUCAAAUAAAACAGUCAGAUAUGUUUUAGUUUUUUUUUCAAUGCAAAUUUCUAUAUUAAACUAAAAUAUAAUAGACAGGAUCUUCUUUUUAUUAAGAAUGACUGAUUCUUCUCUUGAAAUCUGAAAAUGGUUGAUGUACACUUUUUGAGGGAGGGUGGGGGGUCUGAAAAAGUGUACGUUUUGUACACUUUGGAAAAUGGUUGACAAUUAUGGAUGACCCCUAAAUGGGGCAUGAAAAUUUAUUGUUGAAAGUAAAAACUUUAACCUGAAGCCGGACAGAAGGACGGACUUACAAACGAACGGAGGAAUUGGGCAUACAAAUUUAUUGUUGAAAGUGAAAGUAGUGAUUUGAUCAAAAUGAAAGUAGGGUAGAGAUUAGCGGGAGGCAAGACUUAUUAGGAACGUCGGGAUCUGGUGCUUUUAAGCUCGGGAUUUCGGAACUGAUUUUUACGGGAUGCGGGAAUAUUUUUUUUUUAUUUCGGGAUGUCGGGAUAUGAAUUUCGUUAAAAUACGCAUCUCGGGAUUUCAUGUUUUUAAGCCCGGGAUUUCAGAAUCAGGGCCCCUCAGACCACCCCUCAAAUGAGCGUUAGUCAUUUAUACGAGAUUCAAAUCCUACCAUUGGCAUGUUAAUAGGGCUUUCAAAUGGAAAAGCACUGAUGGAUUGUUCUACAAGCACAUUUUAUUAUCUAAUAAUAAUGGUAUGUAAGCAGUUUCAUUUGUUUCAUGAUUGAAGCGGUGCAAAUUUUUAAUUUAAUUUGACUUUUAUCAAAAAAUGCAUUGUACCAAAGAGGAAGAAUAAUUGUGGCAUAAGGCCAAAAACACAAAAAAAUAAUCGAAUUUAACAGAAAGGAAACACAUAACGGAGGGCUUUUUGAUACCUUUUAUGAAAUUCUCCAGUCAAAAU